rnacentral:tRNA from 2 species
GCGUUUGUAGCUCAAUGGUAGAGCCGAAGCCUUCCAAGCUUAGGACAAGGGUUCGAUUCCCUUCGGACGCUCCA